rnacentral:rRNA from 1 species
GGUUUUUUGAUUAUAAUUUAAAAUUUGAUCUGCUCAAUGAUUAAAUUAAAUAGCUGCAGUAUUUUAACUGUACAAAGGUAGCAUAAUCAUUUGUCUUUUUAUUAAAGUCUGGAAUGAAUGAUUUAAUGAAAAAAUUUCUGUCUCAAUUUAAUUAAUAAAAUUUUAUUUUAAGUUAAAAUUCUUAAAAUUUAUUUAAAGACGAGAAGACCCUAUAGAAUUUUAUAAAAUUUUUUAUUUUUAUUUUAUAAAUUAAUAUAAUUAAAUUUAAUUUUAUUUUAUUGGGGUAAUAAAAAAAUUUAAAUAAAUUUUUUUGAUUAGAUUCAUUUAUAAAUGUCAAUAAAUAAUUUAUCCAAAAUUUUUGAAAUAAAAAUUAAUUACCUUAGGGAUAACAGCGUUAUUUUUUUAGAAAGUUCUUAUUGAUAAAAAAGUUUGCGACCUCGAUGUUGAAUUAAGAUAAAAUUUUAAUGUAGAAAUUAAAAAUUUUAAGUCU